rnacentral:rRNA from 1 species
UCAAUGGGCUUACGCCUGAACCAGCCAAGUCACGUGAGGGAAGACUGCCCUAUGGGUUGUAAACCUCUUUUGUCAGGGAGCAACAACAUCUACGAGUAGGUGUUACGAGAGUACCUGAAGAAAAAGCAUCGGCUAACUCCGUGCC